rnacentral:rRNA from 1 species
GAUGAACGCUGGCGGCGUGCCUAAUACAUGCAAGUCGAGCGAACAGAUGAGGAGCUUGCUCCUCUGACGUUAGCGGCGGACGGGUGAGUAACACGUGGAUAACCUACCUAUAAGACUGGGAUAACUUCGGGAAACCGGAGCUAAUACCGGAUAAUAUAUUGAACCGCAUGGUUCAAUAGUGAAAGACGGUUUUGCUGUCACUUAUAGAUGGAUCCGCGCCGCAUUAGCUAGUUGGUAAGGUAACGGCUUACCAAGGCAACGAUGCGUAGCCGACCUGAGAGGGUGAUCGGCCACACUGGAACUGAGACACGGUCCAGACUCCUACGGGAGGCAGCAGUAGGGAAUCUUCCGCAAUGGGCGAAAGCCUGACGGAGCAACGCCGCGUGAGUGAUGAAGGUCUUCGGAUCGUAAAACUCUGUUAUUAGGGAAGAACAAAUGUGUAAGUAACUGUGCACGUCUUGACGGUACCUAACCAGAAAGCCACGGCUAACUACGUG